AUGUACCCAAAGCGCCGUUCGGCCGUGACUGCGUGCAGCAUCAAGCUCCCCUCGGGCCUGACUGCGUGCAGCAGCAAGCGCCCUCGACUCAUAGCUGCCGCCGCCAUCUCAUAUCCAUCUUCGUGGGCGUCUCUUCAGGCAGAUUUAGUUCGCCUGAUCGGGUGGAGGGUGUUGGCGAGCGACUUGAGGGACUAUGUCCGCUUCCGCGCCGUUUGCCCCCACUGGCGGUCUAGCUCCGUCUGCCCACGCGGCCGUGGUGUUGUCGACCCGCGCUUUCACCCGCGCCGGUGGAUGAUGCUGCCCGAGGGCCACGGCCUGUAUCCUGGCCACGGCAGGCUACAUGGGUACAUCCGCUUUAUCAACCUCUCCACUGGCGCCAUCGUCCGUUGCCUGCUCCCGCUUUUCAGAGAUCACUGCAUCCUCGACUCGGUCGAUGGUCUCCUCCUCUUGCAACGGGACGAAGACACCGCCAUCCGCCUCCUCCACCCAUUCACUGGAGACAUUGCAGAGCUGCCGCCACUUGCGACCCUCAUGCGUCUUCCUGGAGCCAAGAAAAAUGUUGAAAUGGUCUGGACGUAUCUUAGAAACAUCGGUGCCACGUCUGUCAGUGUUAGUGCAGCUGGAGUCAUCACUGUCAUGAUUGUAGUUUAUAAGCUAUCGAUUUUAGCCUUUGCUACCACCAGGGACCAUCAAUGGAAUGUUGCAAGCUGGGUGCUCCCACCAAUUGGGAGGCUAAUAUCAUCCCAAGGCAAGCUAUACAUGAUGGAUACUUCCACAUUUUACACUAGUGGUUCUGGAGACACUCAGAUCUUCCAGAUCAAUCCACCCCAGCAUGAAGAGAUGGGUUCAGGUUCGUCUUCGAUGCCAUCAAAGAAGUUGAUUGCUACAUGCUGGGCUGGCAAAAUGCCUGCCCCUCAAUACCUGGCAGAAUGUGACUCAGAGGUCCUGGUGAUUGGGUAUAGCGACGGAUUUUUUACGCACCCUUUGGUUUACAGACUGUCUGACCUUAUCCUUCGGGCUGUCCCGGUAACUAGUAUUGGAGACAAUGUUCUGUUUAUUGAUGAAAGGAUUCUGAGUGAACUGUAUUUGGCAGAACGCCACCUCAAUAGUGACACAUGGUUACAGGCAGCGGAUGGACGUAUUGCGAACUGUCAUUUAUCGAGGCCCUAUAGCCUCAUUUAUCAUAUCUUCACCUGUUGCCAUCGUGCUUCUUGGAACAAAGGAACGAUUCUUUACCAGUUUAAGAAUCAGAAUAAUUGGAAAGUGAAGAGAAAGUGGCGCCAGGGGGUAAGUCUGAACUGCAAUACUACCUCGAUUCUAUUGCAGUGGAUGCAUUUUUGGCUCUUUUUAUUUCUGCUCAAGGUUUUUAAGGCGGUAAGGCGUCAUAAGGUGAUCAACGCCGGCCUUACCGCCCAAGUGCAUAAGUCGUAA
rnacentral:rRNA from 1 species